rnacentral:piRNA from 1 species
UCCACGUUAGUGUAGCCUCCAGGUAUGGUU